rnacentral:rRNA from 1 species
CAGCCGUAAACUAUGCGCGUUAGGUGUAUUGGUGACCACGAGUUACCGAGGUGCCGAAGGGAAACCGUGAAACGUGCCGCCUGGGAAGUACGGUCGCAAGGCUGAAACUUAAAGGAAUUGGCGGGGGGAGCACCACAACGGGUGGAGCCUGCGGUUUAAUUGGACUCAACGCCGGGAAGCUCACCGGAUAAGACAGCGGAAUGAUUGCCGGGCUGAAGACUCUGCAUGACUAGCUGAGAGGAGGUGCAUGGCGUAGACGUCU